ensembl:lncRNA
GCCUUGGAUAACAUUGAACUUCCCAACUCAAAACUGCCUGACGACCUCUAGAGCAUCUUCAACUGCUCCUGUGGGAAGAUAACAUUUUCCUGAUUACACAUAGUGGUGACAAUGAACUGUCAUGGAGCAAAUGCAGAAGAACAAUUAAAGCUCCUCAGAGGAAUGAGGGGAAGGAGGCCUGUAUAAAGCUACUCAGAGGAACGAGGGGAAGGAGGCCUGUAUAAAGCUACUCAGAGGAAUGAGGGGAAGGAGGCCUGUAUAAAGCUACUCAGAGGAAUGAGGGGAAGGAGGCCUGAAUAAAGCUACUCAGAGGAAUGAGGGGAAGGAGUGCUGUAUAAAGCUACUCAGAGGAACGAGGGGAAGGAGGCCUGUAUAAAGCUACUCAGAGGAAUGAGGGGAAGGAGGCCUGUAUAAAGCUACUCAGAGGAAUGAGGGGAAGGAGGCCUGUAUAAAGCUACUCAGAGGAAUGAGGGGAAGGAGGGCUGUAUAAAGCUACUCAGAGGAAUGAGGGGAAGGAGGCCUGUAUAAAGCUACUCAGAGGAAUGAGGGGAAGGAGGCCUGUAUAAAGCUACACAGUGGAAUGAGAGGAAGGAGUGCUGUAUAAAGCUACUCAGGGGAAUGAGGGGAAGGAGGCCUGUAUAAAGGGACUACAACAGAUGACUGAAAAUGAACCACUAAACCCUACGGACCCUAAAUUCCCACAAUCCAUCUCGGUGAUAUUUAUACAUGUGAGCCAGGCUUUUAUUAGAGACGCCUUAAAACGCUCUACAACAUCCCUGGGAGAUUCAGUCACACCACUCACCAGGUGGGUUAGUGCUAAAAUAAUGACGUCAGAUCUGAAUUCCCACAUCUAAUACGCACCUUGACCGUUAAGGCUCUGGUCUGGGACCGUUUACAAGACAGGAAACAGUCUAAACACCCUCGGUUAUGUCCUCUCCUGCUUGGCUGAGUAAUGGAUUAGUCAACCCCUUAACCUCUGACCCCUGACCUCUAUAGGCCCUGACCCUGUACGACGGGGACCCUCCUCCCAGCAGAGAGGGGUCAGAGGCCUGACUGGAGCUGGAGGAGUCUGAUGACUACAAUGUUUCGUCACAAAUGGCACCCUUUCCCACUUUAUAGUGCACUACUUUUAACCUGAGACAUAAGUGUCCUGGUCUAAAGUAGUGCACUAUAUAGGGAAUAGGGUGCUAUUUGGGAUUGAGUCUAUCUACUCCCAUCUAUCUACUCCCACUGCUAUUAUACAAAAAAAUCGAAUAGUGCUGAUUGUUUAACUCUUUAUGCAUGUAUGCAUGUAUACCACACACACACACACACACACACACACAC